rnacentral:tRNA from 1 species
GCGAAGGUGGCGGAAUUGGUAGACGCGCUAGCUUCAGGUGUUAGUGUUCUUACGGACGUGGGGGUUCAAGUCNGUUCUUACGGA